UACAGAGGUGGCAAGCGUUGUUCGGAAUCACUGGGCUUAAAGGGCGCGUAGGCGGGCCGCCGCGUCCGGGGUGAAAUCCUCCCGCUCAACGGGAGAACGGCCUCGGAUACGGGCGGUCUGGAGGGGGGUAGGGGCGUGCGGAACUGUGGGUGGAGCGGUGAAAUGCGUUGAUAUCCACAGGAACUCCGGUGGCGAAGGCGGCACGCUGGACCCCACCUGACGCUGAGGCGCGAAAGCCAGGGGAGCGAACGGG
rnacentral:rRNA from 1 species